GACGAACGCUGGCGGCGUGCUUAACACAUGCAAGUCGAACGGAAAGGCCCUGCUUUUGUGGGGUGCUCGAGUGGCGAACGGGUGAGUAACACGUGAGUAACCUGCCCUUGACUUUGGGAUAACUUCAGGAAACUGGGGCUAAUACCGGAUAGGAGCUCCUGCCGCAUGGUGGGGGUUGGAAAGUUUCGGCGGUUGGGGAUGGACUCGCGGCUUAUCAGCUUGUUGGUGGGGUAGUGGCUUACCAAGGCUUUGACGGGUAGCCGGCCUGAGAGGGUGACCGGCCACAUUGGGACUGAGAUACGGCCCAGACUCCCACGGGAGGCAGCAGUGGGGAAUAUUGCACAAUGGGCGGAAGCCUGAUGCAGCAACGCCGCGUGCGGGAUGACGGCCUUCGGGUUGUAAACCGCUUUCGCCUGUGACGAAGCGUGAGUGACGGUAAUGGGUAAAGAAGCACCGGCUAACUACGUG
rnacentral:rRNA from 1 species